UACGUAGGGGGCUAGCGUUGCUCGGAAUCACUGGGCGUAAAGGGUGCGUAGGCGGGUCUUUAAGUCAGGGGUGAAAUCCUGGAGCUCAACUCCAGAACUGCCUUUGAUACUGAGGAUCUUGAGUUCGGGAGAGGUGAGUGGAACUGCGAGUGUAGAGGUGAAAUUCGUAGAUAUUCGCAAGAACACCAGUGGCGAAGGCGGCUCACUGGCCCGAUACUGACGCUGAGGCACGAAAGCGUGGGGAGCGAACGGG
rnacentral:rRNA from 1 species